UACAGAGGUGGCAAGCGUUGUUCGGAAUUACUGGGCGUAAAGGGCGCGUAGGUGGCCUUCUUAGUCAGACGUGAAAUCCCCAGGCUUAACCUGGGAACUGCGUCUGAUACUGGAAGGCUUGAGUUCGGGAGAGGAAUGUGGAAUUCCAGGUGUAGCGGUGAAAUGCGUAGAUAUCUGGAGGAACACCGGUGGCGAAGGCGGCAUUCUGGACCGAAACUGACGCUGAGGCGCGAAAGCUAGGGGAGCAAACGGG
rnacentral:rRNA from 1 species